rnacentral:rRNA from 1 species
UACAGAGGUCCCAAGCGUUGUUCGGAUUCACUGGGCGUAAAGCGUGCGCAGGCGGUUAUGUAAGACAGAUGUGAAAUGCCCGGGCUUAACCUGGGAACUGCAUUUGUGACUGCAUGGCUAGAGUGUGUCAGAGGGGGGUAGAAUUCCACGUGUAGCAGUGAAAUGCGUAGAUAUGUGGAGGAAUACCGAUGGCGAAGGCAGCCCCCUGGGAUAACACUGACGCUCAUGCACGAAAGCGUGGGGAGCAAACAGG